rnacentral:rRNA from 1 species
AUAGCCCACACCACCCGGAACAUGCCCAAUCUUGUCUGAUCUUGAAAGCAAAGCGGGGUCGGGCCUGGUGAGUACUGAGUAUAUGAGAGAAUAGUGACUAUU